rnacentral:rRNA from 1 species
CGGCGGACGGGUGAGUAACGCGUGGGUAACCUACCCUGUACACACGGAUAACAUACCGAAAGGUAUGCUAAUACGGGAUAAUAUAUUUGAGAGGCAUCUCUUGAAUAUCAAAGGUGAGCCAGUACAGGAUGGACCCGCGUCUGAUUAGCUAGUUGGUAAGGUAACGGCUUCCCAAGGCGACGAUCAGUAGCCGACCUGAGAGGGUGAUCGGCCACAUUGGAACUGAGACACGGUCCAA